UCCGUAGGGUGAACCUGCGGAGGGAUCAUUGCUGGAACGCGCCCCAGGCGCACCCAGAAACCCUUUGUGAACUUAUACCUUACUGUUGCCUCGGCGCAUGCUGGCCCCCCCGGGGGCCCCUCGGAGACGAGGAGCAGGCACGCCGGCGGCCAAGUUAACUCUUGUUUUUACACUGAAACUCUGAGAAAAAAACACAAAUGAAUCAAAACUUUCAACAACGGAUCUCUUGGUUCUGGCAUCGAUGAAGAACGCAGCGAAAUGCGAUAAGUAAUGUGAAUUGCAGAAUUCAGUGAAUCAUCGAAUCUUUGAACGCACAUUGCGCCCUCUGGUAUUCCGGAGGGCAUGCCUGUUCGAGCGUCAUUUCAACCCUCAAGCAUUGCUUGGUGUUGGGGCACUGCUUUUUACCCAAAAGCAGGCCCUGAAAUCUAGUGGCGAGCUCGCCAGGACCCCGAGCGCAGUAGUUAAACCCUCGCUUUGGAAGGCCCUGGCGGUGCCCUGCCGUUAAACCCCCAACUUUUGAAAAUUUGACCUCGGAUCAGGUAGGAAUACCCGCUGAACUUAAGCAUAUCAA
rnacentral:rRNA from 1 species